rnacentral:lncRNA from 1 species
CGAGCACAGGUUGGACAGCAGCUCUGAGAAGAUGAAUUCCUUGGUCUGCCUGCUCUGCCGACUCCUCCAGGAGUGUCUGCUCAUUCCCACGUGAGUACAGGUUGGACAGCAGCUCUGAGAAGCAGCAUCUCGUCGCGCCACUGUGCCUGCUCUGCCGACUCCUGCACGAGUGUCUUCUGGUUCCCACGCGAGUGCAGGUUGGACAGCAGCUCUCAGAAGACGAAUUCCUUGGUCUGCCUGCUUUGCCGACUCCUCCAGGAGUGUCUGCUCCAUCCCACGCGAGUACAGGUUGGACAGCAGCUCUGAGAAGAUGAACUCCUUGGUCUGCCUGCUCUGUCGACUCCUCCACGAGUGUCUUCUGGUUCCCACGCGAGUGCAGGUGGGACAGCAGCUGCGAGAAGAUGAAUUCCUUGGUCUGCCUGCUCUGCCGACUCCUCCAGGAGUGUCUUCUCGUUCCCACGCGAGUACAGGUUGGACAGCAGCUCCGAGAAGAUGAACUCCCUGGUCUGCCUGCUCUGCCGACUCCUCCAGGAGUGUCUGCUCGUUCCCACGCGAGUAGAGGUUGGACAGCAGCUCCGAGAAGAUGAACUCCUUGGUCUGCCUGCUCUGUCGACUCCUCCUGGAGUGUCUUCUCGUUCCCACGCGAGUACAGGUUGUACAGCAGCUCCCAGAAAAUGAACUCCUUGGUCUGCCUACCCUGUCGCCUCCUCCAGGAGUGUCUUCUCGUUCCCACGCGAGUACACGUUGGACAGCAGCUCCGAGAAGAUGAAUUCCUGGUUCUGCCUGCUCUGCCGACUCCUCCAGGAGGGUCUGCUCGUUCCCACGGGAGUACAGGUUGGCCAGCAGCGAUGAGAAGAUGAACUCCUUGGUCUGCCUGCUCUGCCGACUCCUCCACGAGUGUCUUCUGGUUCCCACGCGAGUGCAGGUUGGACAGCAGCUCCGAGAAGAUGAAUUCCUUGGUCUGCCUGCUUUGCCGACUCCUCCAGGAGUGUCUUCCCGUUCCCACGCGAGUACAGGUUGGACAGCAGCUCUGAGAAGCAGCAUCUCGUCGCGCCACUGUGCCUGCUCUGCCGACUCCUGCACGAGUGUCUUCUGGUUCCCACGCGAGUGCAGGUUGGACAGCAGCUCUCAGAAGAUGAAUCCCU